GGGUCAGUAGGUUGGUCGUGCCACCGGUACGUACUGGUCUCACUGAUUCCUCCUUCCUGAAGAGCCGUAAUGCCAUUAAUUUGGUGUUGCGGGGAAACAGGACUGUUACUUUGAAAAAAUUAGAGUGUUUGAAGCAAGCUAACGCUUGAAUACAUUAGCAUGGAAUAAUGAAAUAGGACGAUCGAUCCUAUUUUGUUGGUUUCUAGGAUUGACGUA
rnacentral:rRNA from 1 species